GGUUCAGGACGAACGCUGGCGGCGUGCCUAACACAUGCAAGUCGAGCGGGGACAUACGACGGAACCAAAGUUUCGGAUGGAGGUGAAGAUGUAUGUUCUAGCGGCGGACGGGUGAGUAACGCGUGAGCAACCUGUCCCUUACAGGGGGAUAACACAGCGAAAGUUGUACUAAUACCGCAUGAGACCACGGGGAGACAUCUUUCUGAGGUCAAAGGAGCAAUCCGGUAAGGGGUGGGCUCGCGUCCGAUUAGAUAGUUGGUGAGGUAACGGCCCACCAAGUCGACGAUCGGUAGCCGACCUGAGAGGGUGAUCGGCCACAUUGGGACUGAGACACGGCCCAAACUCCUACGGGAGGCAGCAGUGGGGAAUAUUGGGCAAUGGGGGAAACCCUGAACCGCAGCAACGCCGCGUGACCGAUGAAGCCCUUCGGGGUGUAAAGGUCUGUCAGUGGGGACGAAACAUGACGGUACCCACAGAGGAAGCACCGGCUAACUCCGUGCCAGCCGCCGC
rnacentral:rRNA from 1 species